UCGAUACUCCUCGGGCAAGCCUCUGACUACUCGGAGACAGCCGGAGUAUUCGUCCAGAAGGAAAAGUUGUCGCCGGCCUCUAACGACUCGACACUGUCCAAACUCGAGACAGCCACAGAAUCACAGAUGGACAUGGAUGCCCAGCCAGGGACAACAAUUCCAAGCCUCCCUUGCAAUUAGGUGUGGCCAUGACUGAGUUCUUUUCCAAGGGAAGGUAAACAGCUGUGAUGUGGAUGCAGACACAGUGCGGAGAGCACAGGACCUGCCACCUCCCAAACCAAUUCCACCUUUGGAUCUAAGUUCAUGUCAUGCUUUUUAAGGGCAAUGCCAUGGCAGCUUCUGGACCAGUUCCUUGGAUUCCCAUCAGGCACAGCCCACACCGGACCUCCAGCAGGCCUUCCCAGAGAUAUGGAAAGUUAGUGAGGUCCCAGAGCCAGCCUCUGAUCCUUGGGCCAGAGGAAGGUCACUGAGUAGCAUCUAAAAGCCAGAUGGCUGACCACAAGCCUGUGGUCAUGGUAAUGCUGUGGAAAUGGUAAGUUUGAAAAUGCACAUGCUUUUGGAGCCAGCCUUCGACCUAAGAAGAGAAAUAGCCCGUGUAUGGACUUCGGCAAAAUGGUGAACCCAAGCUGGGUCUAAAGUGGGCAGCCCUGGCCAAUAGUUAUCACGUGGGAAUCCUGGCUUGCUAUGGCCGAUGUUCUGAAUUUUCCAAAAGCCAGAAACAAGGACUUCGAGUCAUAUGAAAAUUUUAAAAAACACCCAAAUCUUAUACUUAAAUAUUGAAAACAAAUUCCAAAAAUUUAAAUCACUUUGCUGGUCAAACAACAUAUAUCUGCAGGCUGGAGUUUAGCAGUGGACACUGGUUUUCAAUCCCUGACAUGUUGUUGAAGAGUGAGUGCUUUGAAUCAAUGUCCAGGCGCCAUCACCUACCAGCUGCAUGAUCUUGGCAAGUAUUUUAACUUCCGAGUCUCCAUUUAUAAGGACAGUACGUA